rnacentral:piRNA from 1 species
UGNGAAUCGUAGCUUAGCUGAGAACAGGUC